AACGAACGCUGGCGGCAUGCCUAACACAUGCAAGUCGAACGAAGGCUUCGGCCUUAGUGGCGCACGGGUGCGUAACGCGUGGGAAUCUGCGCUUGGGUUCGGAAUAACUCAGAGAAAUUUGAGCUAAUACCGGAUGAUGUCGCAAGACCAAAGAUUUAUCGCCCAAGGAUGAGCCCGCGUAGGAUUGGCUUGUUGGUGAGGUAAAAGCUCACCAAGGCGACGAUCCUUAGCUGGUCUGAGAGGAUGAUCAGCCACACUGGGACUGAGACACGGCCCAGACUCCUACGGGAGGCAGCAGUGGGGAAUAUUGGACAAUGGGCGAAAGCCUGAUCCAGCAAUGCCGCGUGAGUGAUGAAGGCCUUAGGGUUGUAAAGCUCUUUUACCCGGGAUGAUAAUGACAGUACCGGGAGAAUAAGCUCCGGCUAACUCCGUGCCAGCCGCCGCCGUAA
rnacentral:rRNA from 1 species